UUAACACAUGCAAGUCGAACGAUGAUGCCCACUUGUGGGUGGAUUAGUGGCGAACGGGUGAGUAACACGUGAGUAACCUGCCCUUGACUCUGGGAUAAGCCUGGGAAACUGGGUCUAAUACCGGAUAUGACCUUCCAUCGCAUGGUGGUUGGUGGAAAGCUUUUGUGGUUUUGGAUGGACUCGCGGCCUAUCAGCUUGUUGGUGGGGUAAUGGCCUACCAAGGCGACGACGGGUAGCCGGCCUGAGAGGGUGACCGGCCACACUGGGACUGAGACACGGCCCAGACUCCUACGGGAGGCAGCAGUGGGGAAUAUUGCACAAUGGGCGCAAGCCUGAUGCAGCGACGCCGCGUGAGGGAUGACGGCCUUCGGGUUGUAAACCUCUUUCAGUAGGGAAGAAGCCGCAAGGUGACGGUACCUGCAGAAGAAGCGCCGGCUAACUACGUGCCAGCAGCCGCGGUAAUACGUAGGGCGCAAGCGUUAUCCGGAAUUAUUGGGCGUAAAGAGCUCGUAGGCGGUUUGUCGCGUCUGCCGUGAAAGUCCGGGGCUCAACUCCGGAUCUGCGGUGGGUACGGGCAGACUAGAGUGAUGUAGGGGAGACUGGAAUUCCUGGUGUAGCGGUGAAAUGCGCAGAUAUCAGGAGGAACACCGAUGGCGAAGGCAGGUCUCUGGGCAUUAACUGACGCUGAGAGCGAAAG
rnacentral:rRNA from 1 species